rnacentral:rRNA from 1 species
CCCAGACUCCUACGGGAGGCAGCAGUGGGGAAUAUUGCACAAUGGGGGGAACCCUGAUGCAGCGACGCCGCGUGGGUGAAGGAGUACUUCGGUACGUAAAGCCCUAUCAGCAGGAAAGAAAAUGACGGUACCUGACUAAGAAGCCCCGGCUAACUACGUGCCAGCAGCCGCGGUAAUACGUAGGGGGCAAGCGUUAUCCGGAUUUACUGGGUGUAAAGGGAGCGUAGACGGCAGUGCAAGUCCGGAGUGAAAGCCCGGGGCUCAACCCUGGGACUGCUCUGGAAACUGUAAAGCUGGAGUGCGGGAGGGGCAGGCGGAAUUCCUGGUGUAGCGGUGAAAUGCGUAGAUACUAGGAGGAACACCGGCGGCGAAGGCGGCCUGCUGGACCGUAACUGACGUUGAGGCUCGAAAGCGUGGGGAGCAAACAGGAUUAGAUACCCCCGUACG